CUCAUCUUGUCAUACCGGAUCUAUACAAGUGCUACCUAUAAAAUAGAAGCAUCAUCGUGUCGCAAUGAAAAAGGAAUUUUUAAUAAUUGUCACAGUUUGGGCACUGCUAGCUGCAAGUGUUAGUGGAAGCGAAGGUUGUUCUUCCUCAUCCGACUCCUCCUCUAGCGAGUGCGGUGGCGGUGGGCCUGUUCCUAUUCCUGUUUUUCAGAUUCAGCAGAAACGUGCAGUUGCCAAGACUGAUGACGCUGAGAUUGGAAAGGCAUCACCGCUGAGAUAAGAAAGAGAAAUGCGAGCUCUCCUUGUUGCAACGCUGAGAAACAUCACAUCAGAGUUCAGCUACUUGAUUUUUAUAUAUCAACGACUGAACCAAACUUUUUCGGAAUAUUCAUAUUGACAAGCUGACCUCGAAAUCUUUAUAUUCUAUUUCAAUGAUCCGCAUAAAUGACAACAAAAUGCUUGUUUAAAUUUAU
rnacentral:lncRNA from 1 species